rnacentral:rRNA from 1 species
GACGAACGCUGGCGGCGUGCCUAAUACAUGCAAGUAGAACGCUGAAGAGAGGAGCUUGCUCUUCUUGGAUGAGUUGCGAACGGGUGAGUAACGCGUAGGUAACCUGCCUUGUAGCGGGGGAUAACUAUUGGAAACGAUAGCUAAUACCGCAUAACAAUGGAUGACACAUGUCAUUUAUUUGAAAGGGGCAAUUGCUCCACUACAAGAUGGACCUGCGUUGUAUUAGCUAGUAGGUGAGGUAACGGCUCACCUAGGCGACGAUACAUAGCCGACCUGAGAGGGUGAUCGGCCACACUGGGACUGAGACACGGCCCAGACUCCUACGGGAGGCAGCAGUAGGGAAUCUUCGGCAAUGGGGGCAACCCUGACCGAGCAACGCCGCGUGAGUGAAGAAGGUUUUCGGAUCGUAAAGCUCUGUUGUAAGUCAAGAACGAGUGUGAGAGUGGAAAGUUCACACUGUGACGGUAGCUUACCAGAAAGGGACGGCUAACUACGUGCCAGCAGCCGCGGUAGUACGUAGGUCCCGAGCGUCGUCCGGAUUUAUUGGGCGUAAAGCGAGCGCAGGCGGUUUGAUAAGUCUGAAGUUAAAGGCUGUGGCUCAACCAUAGUUCGCUUUGGAAACUGUCAAACUUGAGUGCAGAAGGGGAGAGUGGAAUUCCAUGUGUAGCGGUGAAAUGCGUAGAUAUAUGGAGGAACACCGGUGGCGAAAGCGGCUCUCUGGUCUGUAACUGACGCUGAGGCUCGAAAGCGUGGGGAGCGAACAGGAUUAGAUACCCUGGUAGUCCACGCCGUAAACGAUGAGUGCUAGGUGUUGGAUCCUUUCCGGGAUUCAGUGCCGCAGCUAACGCAUUAAGCACUCCGCCUGGGGAGUACGACCGCAAGGUUGAAACUCAAAGGAAUUGACGGGGGCCCGCACAAGCGGUGGAGCAUGUGGUUUAAUUCGAAGCAACGCGAAGAACCUUACCAGGUCUUGACAUCCCGAUGCUAUUUCUAGAGAUAGAAAGUUACUUCGGUGCAUCGGUGACAGGUGGUGCAUGGUUGUCGUCAGCUCGUGUCGUGAGAUGUUGGGUUAAGUCCCGCAACGAGCGCAACCCCUAUUGUUAGUUGCCAUCAUUCAGUUGGGCACUCUAGCGAGACUGCCGGUAAUAAACCGGAGGAAGGUGGGGAUGACGUCAAAUCAUCAUGCCCCUUAUGACCUGGGCUACACACGUGCUACAAUGGUUGGUACAACGAGUUGCGAGUCGGUGACGGCAAGCUAAUCUCUUAAAGCCAAUCUCAGUUCGGAUUGUAGGCUGCAACUCGCCUACAUGAAGUCGGAAUCGCUAGUAAUCGCGGAUCAGCACGCCGCGGUGAAUACGUUCCCGGGCCU